GCAUGGCCGUUYUUAGUUGGUGGAGUGGUUUGUCUGGUUAAUUUCGAUAACGAACGAGACCUCAGCCMUUUAACUAGCUGUGGCUAAAAAAAAUUAGCUGCAUAAAGCGUGAGAUCAGCUUCUUAAAGGGACUAUCUGUUUCAGCAGAAGGAAGAUUGAGGCAAUAACAGGUCAGUGAUGCCCUUAGAUGCUCUGGGCUGCACGCGGGCUMCAAUGGCSCAUCCAGCGAGUUGUCCGAGUYUGAGAAGGCGAGGCAAUCUCCAAAGUGC
rnacentral:rRNA from 1 species